AAUUUUGGACAAUGGGGGAAACCCUGAUCCAGCCAUCCCGCGUGUAUGAUGAAGGCCUUCGGGUUGUAAAGUACUUUUUGCAUAGAAGAAAAGGUAUCUCCUAAUACGAGAUACUGCUGACGGGUUCAGCAGAAUAAGCACCGGCUAACUACGUGCCAGCAGCCGCGGUAAUACGAAGGGUGCAAGGGUUAAUCGGAAUUACUGGGCGUAAAGCGUGUGUAGGCGGUUCGGAAAGAAAGAUAUGAAAUCCCAGGGCUCAACCUUAGAACUGCAUUUUUAACUGCCGAGCUAGAGUAUGUCAGAGGGGAGUAGAAUUCCACGUGUAGCAGUGAAAUGCGUAGAUAUGUAGAGGAAUACCGAUGGCGAAGGCAGCCCCCUGGGAUAAUACUGACGCUCAGACACGAAAGCGUGGGGAGCAAACAG
rnacentral:rRNA from 1 species